rnacentral:lncRNA from 1 species
GAAAAGUGUGAAAAUUCAAGGAAACAAGUGACAAAAGGUAAGAUUUUUCAAUUCUAGCUUGUGAUCUACAUUUUCUAUGCAUUAUUUUGCAUUUUCCGUGGUUGAAUCACAAGAUAUCAUGAAGGAUUCAUGGCUGACCGAAUUUAGAGAGAGAAGAUUUGAUGAUUGAUUUGGUUAGAUUUUGAGAUAUUUUAGUGUUUUUAGUUAUUUAGUGUUGUGUAGCAUGAAAAGCCAACAAGAAAAAUUCAUUUUCUCCCAUCACCCAUCAUUGGUCGAAUUCUGCAUGUAGAAUAUUGAUGAUGAUUUUGAUUUUAUUUCAAGUGAUUUGGUUAGGAAUUAGUGAUUUAUGGUGUGAGAAUCAAGCUUGAAAAAUUAUAAUGUUGAUGCACCCACCAUGGCCAAAUUUUCCAAGAGAAAAUGUGAGGAUGAUUUUGCCAUAUUUCAAGUUAUUUAAUUUUUGUUUGAUGAUUUGGAGUAUUGGGAGAAAAAUGAAAUUAUUUGGAGUUGAAUUGGACGUAUUGGCCAAUUAAUCGAGUGAUAGAUCGAAUUAGGCCAAUAUCGUUUAAUUUAGGUACACAAAUGAAUUUGUGUAGAACACCGUGUUUAGACGAUAAUCCGAACAAUUUGCAUUCCAUUUCAUGCAUUAGUAAAGAGCCUGAAAUAGAUUUAUAAUGGUAUGACACAGUAUAUUGAAUUAUGUGUCGUGUAUUAUAUAUAGGUGGUGAGCCCUCUAACAAGGGUAAAGACGUUGUGUCAGAGGACUGAGAAUAGGAGUAUUUCAAACUCCUGAUACUGUGAGUAACCUUACUAUUGUCUUAAUUAUCUAAAGUAGUUUUCAAUCGUUUUUGUGAUUUUAUGGAAAAUGAGUUUAAAUGGUAAAUCUUUAUGUUUUAUAAGCAAAAUGUGAUUAAAUGAAAAUGAUUUUAUAAAAUUGUCUUGAAAUUGAAAGAUGGUUUUGAAAAUGGAGUAAUUAGAGACUAAUUGUUGUGUUAUAAAUCAUGGUUUGAAUUGAAUGGCUUAUGAUAAUAUUGGCAUGAAUGGUUUAUUUGGUAAAUGUGCUGAAAAUGUAUGAACUGUUAAUUUUCCUUGAGAGGCUGUAAAAUAAAAUAAUUGCCAUGUCAUGCUAUUGCAAAUUUUAUUGUAUGGUGGGUUAUAAAUUAGUCGCUACAGUGGACUGGUUCCAUGGACCAGCCUAUUAGAGGGGCACGGUAACCCUAUUAUAUUCAUAUCUCAGUAUGAGAGGCGUAGUUGGAUAACUCCUGAGGUUAAAACUUUAGAGUUCACUUCACGCCAAACCAUCACGUGAGGGUGAACUCAGCCAACACCAAGGAAUGGCUAUGUUUUCAAAAUAAAAACAUGAUUUAUGCGUACAUAACUUUUUAACAGCCUUGGCGGACUCAGUUGGGAUAGCCCUCGAUCAAGGUAUCCUUGAUAACUGGGUAUGAGAAUGAUUUUGGCAUGAGCCAAAGUUUUAAGAAAUUCAUAAGCCAUGUUGAUUACUUGAUUUAUAUGAAUUGAUUUUAUUUGGUUGAAACAAGUUGAAAGGUGAUGAAUUACAGUAUGUUAAACUAUUUUAUUUGUCUCCAUUUACUCGGCUUUAGAUAUUUUAGAUGGUAUUUAUUUACUGAUUGGGAUUAUAUAAUCUCACAACGCUCCUUUCCACCCAUUUCAAGCUCAGAAUAGGUUGUAGAUAGCUGAUUUCAUCGAGGCUACCAUUGGAUUUGCAUCCUCCAAAUUGUAGGUUCACAGUCUUCCUUACUUUUAGUUGUUCGGGGGCCCACUGGUUAUUGUAAAUUAAAUUAAAUACCCUGGCUUACUAUAUUACAGUAUGUAUGAAUUUAUUUUGCUUUUACGCUGCAAAAAAAUUAUUUACGUAUAACUCUAAAAAUAUUGUUUUAUACGAAAAUAGAAUAUUUUAUUGAAUAUUUCUUUUAUUUUUUUAUUAUAUCCAAAUAAUCAUAAUUUCAUUUUAAAUGAAGGUUUUAGAUGUUUAAACUUAUUUUUUAUUACGAUUUAUGUGUUUUGUUCUAGCAUACUACAUUUUUAACGGAUUUUGAGAUUUUUAAUGAAAAAUAACCAAAAUACCCCUAUGAGAAAAAAUUGUUUUUCUAUUGUGUUGAUUUGGAAAUAGUUUAUAAUCUCUCAAAACAUAAUUUUAGUGACUAAUACUCACAGGGGAAGCAAGAAAAACUGAUGUUAAGCCUUGCGAGGUUUCGAUUGACAUUCCGAUUAAUGAAUGUUUAUCGGGACGUCACGGCAGUUAUCACGGGCUCGAUGAGAGUUCCGGGUCGUGACAAUUAGAUUGGUAUCAGAGCUUUUGAUUUUAAAGCUUAGAGCUUUUGGGUUUAAAGUUGUUUUAAAGUUGUUUUAAAAUUUAUAGUGUCAGUGUAGCCCAAGUUAAGUUAAGUUAAGUCAGGUUAGGUUGAAUAAAAUGCAUGCGUCUGCAUAUAGAGUCUGAGGUUGUCUAAACUUGCUUGUUUCCUCUUAUAGAUUAUCAUGCCUCCUCGACGUGAACACCCACCUCUCACUAGAUCGGUUGGGAGGGGAAGAGGUCGUUCUCAACAUCGUCAGCUAGUUCCUAUAGAGGGGGAAUCGACUGCGUCUACUAUUCGAGCAGCACCUGUUGCUGAGCAGAUCGAGACUCCUCCACAUCCUUCACCUCCUCCGCCACUUACUAGUAUUCCUGCCAUGCCUCUUGAGACAGUUCAGGCAUUGGCAGCCUUUUUUACUGCUAUUGCUGGCUAGGCUCAGGUUGGUCAAGCUCUUCCUACAGUUCCUCCAGCUGCUCCUUCAGUACCACCACCCCUACCUCCUAUCCCACCACUAGUGUUGAAUGUUUCUAAUUCUAAGAAGCUUAAAGAGGCUAGGCAACAUGGUUGCACUUCUUUUAUGGGUGAGUCGGAUGCAAUCAUAGCUAAAGAGGUGGUGCAAAUGGCUUUAAGAGUUGAGAAGCUUGCAAAUGAAAAUAGGAGAAUGCGAGCUGAGUUAGCAAAAAGGAGAAAUUUGAGUGUAUCUUCUAGUCAGCCACCAAAAAGGGGCAAAGACUCAUCUGUUUUAGGAAGUACCACUACUAUUUCAGUAACAUCUUCCCGACCUCCAUUUUCAUAAACACAGUAGAGGCCUUCGAGAUUUAACAAAUCUACGGUGACUAUUUCUGGGAAGAGUUUCAGAGGUUCUGAUAGAUGCUGAAAUUAUGGGAGAUAUCAUGUCGGGCUAUGUAGAGGGCUUGUAAGAUGUUUUUAUUAUGGUCAGCCUGGUCACAUUAGAAGAGAUUGCCCACAGUUAGGACGGGCUACGGUAGCUGCUCCAUCUCCACUAGCUCGUACGGAUAUGCAAAGGAGAGAUUCCUUUGGAUUACCACCGAGACAGGGAUGAUUUUGACAUACCACCAAGGGUAGAUUAAAUAUGUUGAAAUUAGUGUUCUAAUAAAGUACAUAUGAUAGAAAGCUAGUUUUGUAAAUUGUAGUUUCUAUGAUCAUGAAACUUUUGAACUAAUAAUAAGAUAAGUAAAAGAUGUUGAUUCAGGUGGAUUAAUUUCAUGACAAUUUUAAGUUGAAAUGAUUGGACUAUAUGAGUUGUAAGACAAAGAAGACCAGCAGUUGUGAAUACUAAGGAAUUGUGGAACACUAGAAAACAAUGAAUAAUUAUGUGUGUGGUAUCAAACGUAUAUGGUGAAGUCACUAUACAAUAUGGAAAGAGUAUUCUCAAGUGGGAUUUAUUGACUGAUGAUAAGUGGUGUGCAAUCUGAGAUACAUGUAGCUAUGAAUAAAUUUGGAGAUUUUUGCUUAAGCAAACUCGUACUAAACGUUAUGGUAAAGAUAUAUGAAUGUUAGUGGAAAAAUAAAUAUGUUAAAUCAAUGUUCUGAUCGCGCACUUGUGAUAGAAAGUUAGUCUUGCUAAUUAUGGUAUAGAUUCAGAGGGAAGCCACACGAUUGUGAAUAAUUGAGGUAGUAACUUUAAAGGUAGAAGAGUUGCUGGGAUAAAGUAAAUUCAAACAGUUGCAAUGCUACAGUACUGACUAUCAAAAGCUGUCGCGUUAAAAAUCGCUUAUGGUUAGAAAGCAUGAGCAGACUAUGAGCGGCAUAAAGAUCAAACUCGCGAGUUGAAAUAUGGUUAUUGGUUUUGAUGCUAAGCUUUGUUGUUUGGAGUCUUAAGUGAAUUGGGGAGGUAUUAAGAUAAAGAUGAUGAGUGAAAUUGCAGAGUUUCUUUAUUGCCUUAUAUAUUGGCAUGUAAGAGAAAGAAAAGUUAGAGAGUUUUUGAGAUGGCUACAUAAAAAUAAAUUAACAUGUGGAGUGUUAAGAUGAAUAAUAUGAUGACUGAAGUCAAAUCUUAAGAAAUAAAGAAGACAAGAGAUUAAGUCUUGUUAAAGACUAAAAAGGAAACGUGCGAAAGGUUAGAUGAAUGUAUGAGAUAUUGAUAAAAGAUGUCAAUACCAAGUGAGGAAAAUGGAAAUAAAGAUUUCAAUAAUGAUAUAGCAAAUGAGUUUAUAUAGAAUAUUGUUAUGAGAAUAUACUGAUCUUGUCUUGACCUUGUUGAAAGGAAAGGAUUAGUAACAACACAAGUAAACUAGGUGAUAUGCUAGAAACCCUUGGAGAUAAAUUAAAGCAUGAGUAGUUGGGCAUGCCUUUAUGGAAAUGAUAUACCUGGUGUAUAAAAGAGCAAAUAAGUGAUUAAGUGUUUUAAGAAUGUUUAAACGCUUUUGAGAAAGAAUUAUAAGUUAUACAUGAUGAGCAUAAGAUGCGUGACUUUGAAACUUGUUAAGGAGCCAACGGCUAAGUCUUGGGUUAAGUGAUCACCUGUUGUGAGACAUAAGUUUAAGAUAGAUAUCCCCAAGGAAAUACUCAAUAGUAGUUCUGCCCUGGAUCUCUUGAGAGCAAGUACUAAGUUAUGUGGUUAUAAAAAGGAAGCUAUAAAUUGAGAGUGAUAUUAGUAUUGACAUUGAAAAGUACUUGAGGAGAAUCUAGUUUUAAGUCUUGCAAUUUCAAGUACAAUUUGUAAAUUGGUUAAGGGAGAAUGAUGUUAUCUUCGUAUGAAAGAGUGGAACAAAGGAUGAUAGAAGUUGACCUUGAUAAUGAAGUCAGAUAAUGAAACUUUUCUAAUAUAUUAUGGAAAUUGGAAUUCGAAAAUGCUUGAGGUAUACAUGAUUCAAAUGAGUUUGAGUUUUAAGUGACAAAUCAAUAUUGGAAUGCAAGAAGGAUACAAGGUAAUGUAGAGGCAUGAAGAAUAAUCGAGGAAAAAGGAUGACUCUUAGGAAUUGUGGUAUUGCAUAAGAUGCAAUGAUCAAGUUAAGAUAAAUCUUUGAAGUAUCAAUGGGAUUAUAAAGCAUACACGCAUAAUAGAUUAUAAUUCAAUGGAGAUGACAUUGUGAUGCAGUGAUAUAUAGUAUAAGAAAACUUAAGCAUAUAAUUGGAAAUGAUAAAAAGAGAGUAUAAGUAUGUAAAUGAUGUAGAACUAUGCACAGGCAUGAUGAGAAUUUGUAUGAAUUAUGAAGAUUAUUCUCUUGAAUCUUGGUUAUGGAUGGGAAUGAACAAAGAGAAAUUAGUCUGAAGGCAUUUGAAAACAGAGACCCGUAUACAUAAUGAGGAAUAUGGACAUUUGAAUGUGCGUGUAUACGUAUGUGUGGAGUUAGUGAUGUACCCAACUAAAAUGAAGAAUGGUUUUAGUGGUUCGAGAUCUGAACUCAAUAUAUUUGAUGAGUUGUAUAGAUAAUGUAACGAUUAAGAAUCUUAUCAGAAGACGAUUUAUGGUGACCUAAGGAAUUUUGGAGAAAUAGUUAAGGGAAUAUAAUCUAUAGUACGAUUAAGCCAUAUGAGAUGGAUUAAUAGGAUUAAGAAGAUUGAAAUUUCCUAAAUGCAAAGUAAACAUGAAAUAUGUAGAAAUAAUUAAAGCCAUUAAUUUUCCUGAACGCUGAGGAUAUGUACAGGAAUGAGUAUGGCGUGUUAAUGAUGUUGUAAACUACACAAUAGUGUAUGAGGAUAGGAUGAAUGAAUGAAAGUCGAGAAAUUUGAUAUGGAAUGAAGUAAUAAGAUAGUGAUUGGUAUACCUAAAUAAGUAUAAAAUGCGAUCGAAAUUGGUAUGAUUGAGAUGGAGUUAUGGUUCAAGUUUAAUGAUAGUAAUAGAAGCAUGCUUGGUGUCUCGAUAUAAGAGAUCAUAAUUGUGAAGGUUACUGUUGAUCUGAUUUUAAAGGAUAAUAAUAGACAUAAGUGAAGUACUCGAGUUGAAUUGGAGGUAAAUGAGGUGAACAAAUCGAAAUUCCCUAUAAAGGGGAGGACAUAAGAAGUCGAGCAUUAGAUGAGAAAACAAUACCCUCACCUUUUCUCUGAGUUCAGUAAAUGAAAUUUUGAGGUCAAAAUUUUAUUUUAAGGGGGGUAGUGCUAUCAAGCCCAGCUCUACAAUAUGUUUAUUAUGCCAUUCUUACAUAAGAAUGCAUGUUUGCUUACUUGGGUACCUUGGAAAUCGUUAAAGGACGGUAAUGUACCAAAUGGUACAACUAAGUUGAAUUAAGCCUCGAACUAGUCCAAAUAGAGAUUUUAAAAUGAAAUUGAGAAUUUUAAAACCCCAGAAUGACUUAAAAUGGUGAUUCGGAGUUCGAGGACUGAUUUGGAGUCAAAUUGAAAUUUUCAUGACCUAGGGGCAAAAUGGUCAUUUUGCCACCCGAGGUUAAAAUUGGAAUGUUGGAAGAAGUUUUUGAUCAAGAUUGACUAUUUAGAACAUAAUUUGAGUUUGAGAAGUGAAAAAUUUUAAUUUUGGCAAUUUUUCGAGCAUAAGGGUAAAAUAGUCAUUUUGCCACCCCAAGGGCAAAAUUGUAAUUUUACACCACCCAACACUUGUCCAACACAUGGAUUUUACCCAAUAUUAUCAUGGAUAAUUGAGGAAAUUUAAGUGGUGGAGAGAGAUUGCUUAAUGGGUAAGUAUGACACAUGGACCAAUGGAAUGGUGACAUGUGUCAAAUUCUCAUCCAUUUAUUAUUUUCCUUAUAAAUUAGCACAAAAUCAGCCCAUUUCUCUUCAUAUGGCCGGCCAAAGCAAGAACAAAGGAAGAAAAGAAAGAACAAGAACCCUAGGGUGAAAAUUCAAGAGAAAAUUGGUGGAUUUCAAGUAAUCAAGCAAUCAAAGGUAAAAUUUCUUGAUUUUGACUUGUGAUCUACCUUUCCCAUACAUUCUUUUGCAUUUUCCAUGGUUGAAUCACAUGAUUUCAUGAUGGGUAUCUUGCUGGCUGAACACUUAGAGAGAGGUUUUGAUGCUUGAUUUGGUUAGAUUUCAAUGUAUUUUAGUGUUUUUAGUUAGUUAGUGAUGUGUAGCAUGAAAAGCCAACAAGAAAAAUUCAUUUUCUCCCAUCACCCAUCAUUGGCCGAAUUCUCCAUGUAGAAUAUUGAUGAUGAUUUUGAUUUUAUUUCAAGUGAUUUGGUUAGGAAUUAGUGAUUUAUGGUGUGAGAAUCAAGCUUGAAAAAUUAUAAUGUUGAUGCACCCACCAUGGCCGAAUUUUCCAAGAGAAAAUGUGAGGAUGAUUUUGCCAUAUUUCAAGUUAUUUAAUUUGUGUUUGAUGAUUUGGAGUAUUGGGAGAAAAAUGAAAUUAUUUGUAGUUGAAUUAGACGUAUUGGCCAAUUAAUCGAGUGACAGAUCGAAUUAGGCCAAUACCAUUUAAUUUAGGUACACAAUUGAAUUUGUAAAACACCGUGUUUAAACGAUAAUCCGAACAAUUGGCAUUCCAUUUCAUGCAUUAGUAAAGAGCCUGAAAUAGAUUUAUAAUGGUAUGACACAGUAUAUUGAAUUAUGUGUCGUGUAUUGUAUAUAGGUGGUGAGCCCUCUAACAAGGGUAAAGACGUUGUGUCAGAGGACUGAGAAUAGGAGUAUUUCAAACUCCUAAUACUGUGAGUAACCUUACUAUCGUCUUAAUUAUCCAAAGUAGUUUUUAAUCGUUUUUGUGAUUUUAUGGAAAAUGAGUUUAAAUGGUAAAUCUUUAUGUUUUAUAAGCAAAAUGUGAUUAAAUGAAAAUGAUUUUAUAAAAUUGUCUUGAAAUUGAAAGAUGGUUUUGAAAAUGGAGUAAUUGGAGACUAAUUGUUG